rnacentral:rRNA from 1 species
UGCCGCUUUAAUGGGCGAACAGCCCAACCCUUGGGACCGACUACAGCCCCAGGAUGCGACGAGCCGACAUCGAGGUGCCAAACCUCCCCGUCGAUGUGAACUCUUGGGGGAGAUAAGCCUGUUAUCCCCAGGGUAGCUUUUAUCCGUUGAGCGAUGGCCCUUCCAUACGGAACCACCGGAUCACUAAGCCCGACUUUCGUCCCUGCUCGAGUUGUAGCUCUCGCAGUCAAGCUCCCUUAUACCUUUACACUCUGCGAAUGAUUUCCAACCAUUCUGAGGGAACCUUUGGGCGCCUCCGNCAAGAUAAAGUUUGAUUAUCAAAAAGAUGAGCAAAAGAAUUUGAAACCAUAAGGUUUUUCCAAAAAUAAAUUUAAAGCGAUUUCGAAUAUCUACUUCCUUGAUUUUUACCGCCACCCCUUUAUUAGCAAGAAGGAAAACUCCUGCUUCAAACAAACCACUGUAAAGAACAAGCCACCCAAUAGAUACGAUAGAGAUUUGUAAAAAUGUCCCUAAAAGAAUAUCCAACACACUACUCAAGAAAAUAACAAAAAAUAAUCUGUAUUUCAUAUUAAAUACCUCCAUUCAUUUAUUUCACUAACAAUUUAAUAGAGCCUUCUACUCAAAUAUCCUGUCAGAAAAGGAUAGAAAGCUACUUUUUAUAAUACUUCAAGCCCCACAUGAGCAGAAGCGUGAUAAACAAGCAGAGAAUACACCUAUAUAAGCGAUUAGUUGUUGAUAGAAUUCUGUUUCUGAAAUACCUCUAUACAAACAAAUGACAAACAUAAAAUCUGCCAAGCCGAUAAACAUAAGUUGAUUGGUUCUAGGACUAACCAAAUCAUCAUUUACUUAUAUUUAAGAGUAUCUCUUUUAUGUUAAUGUAUGUUAGCACUGAAAAGCAAGACAGGCCAAUAAUAUUUAAAAUGAACAGUAACGGGGUUAAGUCUCUAAAAAAAUUAUCUACUGACACUACAAGAAAUACUAUACAUAUUAUAGUCGAAACUAUCUUUUUCUUAUCCAUAAUUAUUUACUCCUUUCCUAACAAAUCCAACUUAUCAAUCAAGAGCGAUUUUUAACAUAAUGUAGCAGCACCCGUUGCAACUUUGACAAGUUUAGUAUAUCAUUAUUUUUUAAUUUUUUUCAUCCAAAUCUUGAAUUGUCAUCGAAACAUCUUGAAUUGUUAAAAAAUUUAAAAAGUAAGCAUUAAAAACAUACUUUCCUCUUUAUAUUGUAUUGAUACCAACUUGUUUGUAGACUUUUCAUCCUGCUAUCACAUAUCAUUUUGACAGGCGAAACAAAAUUAAAGAAACUCCCCUGUAAAUUAAGCUAGCAAAUACAGGGGAGAAAUUUAUUUUUUAGAGAGUACUAUCCGUAUCCUUUUUGGAAGAUUUUGAAAAUAUUUUUCUAAUUAAGUCAUCCAUAUAAGGACCAAAUAUACCAACUACUAAACCAAUAAUAAAACUUUUAAAAUCCAUAAUUACCACCAACAUGUCGCUGCAUAGGCCACACCUCCAAGUAUAGCUCCUCCCGCAGCACCAGUUACACCUAUUCCUAUAGCAAAUGGUCCCAAUAGAAAUGUCAAACCGUUGUUGCACACCCAUCAAUUGCGCCAUAUGCAACCCCUGCUGCACAACUAAUUUUUCUUCCCCAAUCAAUAUCUCCACCUUCAACGCAAGCAAGCAUUUCAUUAUCCAUAACUGCAAAUUGUGACAUCAUUUUUGUAUCCAUAUAGUAUAUCACUUUUCAGUUACGGAACAAGUUUAAUAUAAAAAUUAUCAAAAAAACAUAGGCAAUAAAGAGAAAAAUUAAUUUAUCAUAGAUUAGAAAUAAUAUGACAAAACAAUUCAAUGAUGUUAAUUCAAUAGUCUUUUGUUUUUUAUCGGAGAUACUUAUGGAUAGAUAAAUAAGAUAGGUUUGAAAAGCGAAGAGAAUAAUAAAGAAUAUAGCCUUCAUAAAAUUUAGCUUUCAUUUUUAUGAUGUAGCGGUAUAGGCUAAAUAUCCACAAACCACUGCUCCUCCAAUUCCUCCUAUUGCAGCGCCCCAUGGUCCUAGAAGUCUCCCAUAUUUCACUCCACCCGCUGCACAACCUAAAGCAGCAACUACAGCUGCUCCUCCGGAAUUACCUCCAUAAACCUCACUCAGCAUUGUUUCAUUUAUAUUACAAUAAGUAUUCAUACAAGUCUCCUUUUAUUAAAAUCCACCCGUUGCCCCUGUUACUCCUGCCCAAAGAUCCACACCAAAUUUAGCUCCUAUGUAUCCACAUGCUCCCAUAAAUGGUGCUCCAACACCACUCGCAGCACAAAUAGCUGUCCCUAGCCCCCAGCCACCAAAAGCAGCACCACCACCUUCUAAGACAUUAGUUUGCCAAUUAUUCUUGCCUCCUUCAAUACUAGAUAACAUAGUUAUAUCCAUUUCAUGAAAUUGUUCCAUAAUUUUUGUAUCCAUGACAAAUACUCUUUUUUAUUUUUAAUUUUUGUCUUGUUGUAACUUUGACAAGUUUAGU